AGCUGUCUUUGUUUUUAACUCCAAAAU
rnacentral:piRNA from 1 species